rnacentral:rRNA from 1 species
AUGGCCAGGUAUCACCGCACAUACAAGGAGGAAGCCAUGAAGAAGAGGUUCGAGGAGUGGAUGGCCAAGUACCAUCGCACCUACAAGGACGAUGAGGAGAAGGCGCGGCGCUAUGAGCUAUUCAAGGACUGUGCCAAGAUGGUUGAUAAGCUUAACGUGUUUCCAGGUGGGGCGACCACAAACAACUUUUGCGACUAUUCUGAGGACGAGAGGCAAGCCAGCUUAGGGGCCGAGUAA